rnacentral:rRNA from 1 species
CUGUGCAAAGGUAGCAUAAUCAUUAGUUUUUUAAUUGAAAGCUGGAAUGAAUGGUUUAAUAAGAAAAAUUCUGUCUCAUUUUUAAGUUUAAAAUUUUAUUUUUAAGUUAAAAAGCUUAAAUUUACUAAAAAGACGAGAAGACCCUUUAGAGUUUUAUAAGAAAAAAUUGAUUAUUAUUAUGAUUUAAAUUUAAAAUUGGUUUUUAUUAUUUUAUUGGGGUGAUAUAAAAAUUUAAGUAACUUUUUAUUUAUUUAAUCAUUAAUUUAUGUGUAAAUGAUCUUGAUUUUUUGGAUUAUAAGAAUAAUUACCUUAGGGAUAACAGCGUAAUUUUUUUUGAGAGUUCUUAUCGAAAAAGAAGUUUGCGACCUCGAUGUUGGAUUAAAAUUUAAUUUUGGCGUAGAAGUUAAAAAUUUAGGUCUGUUCGACCUUUAAAAUU